UCCUUAUAUUUAUGAACUGGUAUAUUGGCCCUUGUUAAAAUACUCUAGAUCUCGGUGCAUUUAUUUUGAAUUUCUCUUUAUGGAUAGCAAUUUAUAAGUUGCAAUUUGAAGUUUAGAACUUGGAUAAUUUUGUUGCAGAUUAAGUUUCUUAAUACUUUGUUGGCUUGAAUAAAACCUUCCGCUUUAGAUGACAAGGAUUGAAGACUGAGAAAACUUAUAUCUAGAUUGGUGUGGGGUUAUCUAAGUGAAUUUCUAGUAUUGGAAACACAAUUUUUCUAUUUAGUAAUUUGAUUUGCUUUUGUUCGUCUACAUGGCUACAUUUGCUUUCUUUAAUAUGUUUCAAGAUAAUAUUUCAACUGAAAUGGAGGCAUGACUUAUAGCUAUUUUCCACCAGGUUUAUCCAAAAAGAAGUUUAGAGUUAGUAGCUCAGACCCUUUGAUUUUUGUUGUGUUUUUCUUUUUCUACUUGUUUUAUUUUUUGCUUUUUUGGUUCUUCUGUAGGUGGAUUUCGCAGGCAAUAGUUUAUCUCCAAUGCAAUGGUUUUGUUAUGAAAUUUUGAAGGACUUUUAACAUCACAUGUGGCAUUUGACCCAACAACUUAAGCGGGUAAAUGAGUGAUGUUGAUGCAACAAAACUGGCCAGCAUUGCGUUUCCAUGCCCUAAUUUGCAGUCUUUGGAGAUCUUGACAUCUGAUUCCUGCAUCAACCGAAUAUAUGGGUAUUGAUUCUAAGUCUUUGAAAUGGUUCUACUUAUUGUUUUUUGGAGGUGCGAUUAGCUGAAGCUCAGAAUGUAAUAAAAUCUGCUGAGCUAGAAAGCAAAAAAGAAGAAAAUGCUGCAAUGAAUGCCCUUACUGAGCAAGAAUUGAUUAUGGAGAGAGUGUUGCAACUUGCAAGAGUCAAAGAUCCUAAACCAACAGGCAGAAAAUAAUGCCAAGUUCUAGACAAAUAACAGCUCCAGCCUGCACCUAAGAAGAAGAGAAAUCUUCUAGGAACUCCAGAUUCAACGGCAGAAGUGGUGGCGCUGUCUGCGACGACGCUAAUGGCGAUGAACCGGUUCGUGUGCGAAAUCUGCAACAAAGGGUUUCAAAGAAACCAGAAUCUGCAGCUGCACAGAAGAGGGCACAAUCUGCCACAGAAGCUGAGGCAGAGAACGACGACGGAGGUGAAGAAAUGGAUCUACAUCUGCCCUGCGUCCACCACAAUCUGGGUUGGGCCCUUGGUGAUCUCACCGGGAUCAAGAAGCACUACAGCAGGAAACAUGGCGAGAAGAAAAUGGAAAUGUGACAUGGGAAUGUUUGGAUCGAUGCCUCACCCUAUACGGUAUCUAGAAUGGGUGAAGACAUGGAAAUGUUUGGAUCGAUAUUCUCCUACAAUUUGCCAUCUAUUGUUUCAAUCAAACAUCUCGUAGUGAAAUAUUGACAUAAGCUGGUUA